GCCGAAAUAGCUCAAUUGGUAGAGCAACUGAUUUGUAAUCAGUAGGUUACGGGUUCGAUUCCUGUUUUCGGCACCA
rnacentral:tRNA from 3 species